ACAAUCCCAAUGUUUAUAAUGAUUAUAUCCUUGUUUGGUCCUAGAGCGUUAACCACUUAAUUUCCCUCGUUGCAAACUUGCAAUGCUCAAAUUUGGGAGCUUUUGCAAUCAUGAUGUCCGAGCUCUGUACUUCAUCCAUGGCUUCUGCCAUCGUUUACUCUCAACAUCACCAUCUUCUUCAUCGAAAUCUCUCCAACCAUUGCAGAUUCUUACUAAUCUAGGAUUUCAGAAGAAAAAAUCACUUUCUUCCACCAAACUCUAUCGAUACCUUGAAGCACAAGAGGUGAAGAAGGUCAGUAAUUCCGAUUUUGCCGAAAAUGUCGAUUCUGUUGUUGAUUUCUUUAAACAAAUUGGAUUUGAACAAUCCCAAAUUAAAAAGGUCAUCUCUUAUGAUCCUCGGCUUCUGAGUGCUAAUGUUGAUAAAACCCUAAAACCCAAAGUGAAGGUUCUUCAGGACCUGGGGUUUUCUGGUUCUGAUGUAGUUCAUGCAAUAUUGGCCAAUCCUUUAAUAUUAAACCGUCGUUUGAAUCCUGCAAUUGAUGCUUUAAGGGAGGUUCUAGGUAGUGAUUACAAUGUUGUUAGAAUCCUGAAACAAUCGAAAUGGAUUUCUUUUGCUGCUGCUGCUAAACAUUUGGUUCCCAAUGUCAAAUUGUUGCAAAAUUAUGGUAUUUCUAAUGACAAAAUCACGAAGUACAUGCUUCAGCAACCAAGAGUGUUAGUCAGGAAGACGGAUAUAUUUCAGGAUAUGUUGAUUACGGUUGAAGAGAAGUUUUGUAUUCCUCGCGAUUCUUCCAGUUUCUUGCCCGGCAUCUACUUGGCUUGUUUUAAGGAGGAGAGUUUUGAGGGUAAAUGUGAUAUAUUUAAGAGUUUUGGAUGGGCUCACUCUGAUGUCUUGACAUUAAUCAGGCAAAAUCCUUAUUGCUUGGGAUUAUCUGAAGCAAGGAUCACGAAGAAGUUGAAUUUCUUGAUGAAAGAGCUAAGUUAUGAGCCUGCUUACGUGGCAGCGCAUAAUCAAAUGAUGAGUUACAGCCUAGAGAAAAGAGUUAUUCCUAGGUAUAAGAUGUUGGUUUUUCUCAAGGAGAAACGUUUGCUUACUCGGGAUUACAGUUUUUAUACUGUUGCUUGCUGGAGUGAGCCUAAAUUUCUGAAGAAGCUUGUUGAACCAUUUAAGGAUGUUAUACCUGAUAUCCAUCAAGUUUAUCUUAGCACCAGAGAUGUUGUUCCACUGACUCAAGGAAGAGCUGACACUCUUUGAUUAUGUUGAACUUCUCUUGUUACUAGAUGUUGGACGACUGCUUCAUCGUUUGCGGGAAGAAAUGCGGUUGUCAAUUCUCAAUUAUUUGGGCUUGACUGACUCGACUCUCGACUCUAUCGUAUUGAGGAACUCAGGAUUCUGUACAAUUGUAGAAGUUGCAGUCCCUUUUUUUCCUUUAGCAGCUGCAAGAUGAUGGCUAAGAAGUACCAAUGUUUCUAAAGAAGCAUGAGGCGCACAACAGUGGAUUGACAAAGAUUACAAUAAGCCUGAAAGAGUGCUUACUUUUCAACUGGGAAGUAAAAUUUAUUCUGGCAUAGGUGCAGAAGCUGUGUGUACAUUGAUACAGGAGAUAGAAUUUGUGGCUGUGUAGCCUAUGUGGUCGCCUACUAAUUUCAAAUUCUGAAUGAUCAGAAUAGGAAGAGAUUCCUCUGUGCUUUGUACUUGUAACGAACUGCACAAGUAGUUCUUGUCUUCUUGAUUCUAAGGGCUUCAGACUUUGCUUAGAUUCCAUAUUAUCUUUUGUAAGAGCUUUGAGUUCUCUUGAAAGUUAAGAGUAGUGAAAUUGUCUAAUUGUCUAA